UGAAGAGGGAAACAACCCAGACCGCCAGCUAAGGUCCCAAAGUCAUGGUUAAGUGGGAAACGAUGUGGGAAGGCCCAGACAGCCAGGAUGUUGGCUUAGAAGCAGCCAUCAUUUAAAGAAAGCGUAAUAGCUCACUGGUCGAGUCGGCCUGCGCGGAAGAUGUAACGGGGCUAAACCAUGCACCGAAGCUGCGGCAGCGACACUAUGUGUUGUUGGGUAGGGGAGCGUUCUGUAAGCCUGUGAAGGUGGCCUGUGAGGGUUGCUGGAGGUAUCAGAAGUGCGAAUGCUGACAUAAGUAACGAUAAAGCGGGUGAAAAGCCCGCUCGCCGGAAGACCAAGGGUUCCUGUCCAACGUUAAUCGGGGCAGGGUGAGUCGACCCCUAAGGCGAGGCCGAAAGGCGUAGUCGAUGGGAAACAGGUUAAUAUUCCUGUACUUGGUGUUACUGCGAAGGGGGGACGGAGAAGGCUAUGUUGGCCGGGCGACGGUUGUCCCGGUUUAAGCGUGUAGGCUGGUUUUCCAGGCAAAUCCGGAAAACCAAGGCUGAGGCGUGAUGACGAGGCACUACGGUGCUGAAGCGACAAAUGCCCUGCUUCCAGGAAAAGCCUCUAAGCAUCAGGUAACAUCAAAUCGUACCCCAAACCGACACAGGUGGUCAGGUAGAGAAUACCAAGGCGCUUGAGAGAACUCGGGUGAAGGAACUAGGCAAAAUGGUGCCGUAACUUCGGGAGAAGGCACGCUGAUAUGUAGGUGAAGCGACUUGCUCGUGGAGCUGAAAUCAGUCGAAGAUACCAGCUGGCUGCAACUGUUUAUUAAAAACACAGCACUGUGCAAACACGAAAGUGGACGUAUACGGUGUGACGCCUGCCCGGUGCCGGAAGGUUAAUUGAUGGGGUUAGCGGUAACGCGAAGCUCUUGAUCGAAGCCCCGGUAAACGGCGGCCGUAACUAUAACGGUCCUAAGGUAGCGAAAUUCCUUGUCGGGUAAGUUCCGACCUGCACGAAUGGCGUAAUGAUGGCCAGGCUGUCUCCACCCGAGACUCAGUGAAAUUGAACUCGCUGUGAAGAUGCAGUGUACCCGCGGCAAGACGGAAAGACCCCGUGAACCUUUACUAUAGCUUGACACUGAACAUUGAGCCUUGAUGUGUAGGAUAGGUGGGAGGCUUUGAAGUGUGGACGCCAGUCUGCAUGGAGCCGACCUUGAAAUACCACCCUUUAAUGUUUGAUGUUCUAACGUUGGCCCGUAAUCCGGGUUGCGGACAGUGUCUGGUGGGUAGUUUGACUGGGGCGGUCUCCUCCUAAAGAGUAACGGAGGAGCACGAAGGUUGGCUAAUCCUGGUCGGACAUCAGGAGGUUAGUGCAAUGGCAUAAGCCAGCUUGACUGCGAGCGUGACGGCGCGAGCAGGUGCGAAAGCAGGUCAUAGUGAUCCGGUGGUUCUGAAUGGAAGGGCCAUCGCUCAACGGAUAAAAGGUACUCCGGGGAUAACAGGCUGAUACCGCCCAAGAGUUCAUAUCGACGGCGGUGUUUGGCACCUCGAUGUCGGCUCAUCACAUCCUGGGGCUGAAGUAGGUCCCAAGGGUAUGGCUGUUCGCCAUUUAAAGUGGUACGCGAGCUGGGUUUAGAACGUCGUGAGACAGUUCGGUCCCUAUCUGCCGUGGGCGCUGGAGAACUGAGGGGGGCUGCUCCUAGUACGAGAGGACCGGAGUGGACGCAUCACUGGUGUUCGGGUUGUCAUGCCAAUGGCACUGCCCGGUAGCUAAAUGCGGA
rnacentral:rRNA from 1 species